rnacentral:rRNA from 1 species
CCAUCAUUUAAAGAAAGCGUAAUAGCUCACUGGUCGAGUCGGCCUGCGCGGAAGAUGUAACGGGGCUAAACCAUGCACCGAAGCUGCGGCAGCGACGCUGAUGCGUUGUUGGGUAGGGGAGCGUUCUGUAAGCCUGCGAAGGUGUGCUGUGAGGCAUGCUGGAGGUAUCAGAAGUGCGAAUGCUGACAUAAGUAACGAUAAAGCGGGUGAAAAGCCCGCUCGCCGGAAGACCAAGGGUUCCUGUCCAACGUUAAUCGGGGCAGGGUGAGUCGACCCCUAAGGCGAGGCCGAAAGGCGUAGUCGAUGGGAAACAGGUUAAUAUUCCUGUACUUGGUGUUACUGCGAAGGGGGGACGGAGAAGGCUAUGUUGGCCGGGCGACGGUUGUCCCGGUUUAAGCGUGUAGGCUGGUUUUCCAGGCAAAUCCGGAAAAUCAAGGCUGAGGCGUGAUGACGAGGCACUACGGUGCUGAAGCAACAAAUGCCCUGCUUCCAGGAAAAGCCUCUAAGCAUCAGGUAACAUCAAAUCGUACCCCAAACCGACACAGGUGGUCAGGUA